AACAAAUAUUUUUUGAGUGACCUCCGUGGGCCGGGCUAUGGAGUAACUAUACUGUGACCUAACACACUUUGCUUCCCUGCAAAUUGUUCAAUAUACUUGCUGAAAUUCAGCUCUACUUCAUGCGUGGUACCCACAGUCUACCAAAUUAGUAACCUAAACACUAGAAUAGGAAUUGAUAUUAGUUUUCAUUUCCUGAUUUGUUUAUUCUUUCAAAAAAAUUUUUGAGUGGUUUCCAGGGGAGAGGUGCUGUGCCUGGGGCUGGAACUGCAGUGGUACACAGGACAGAAUGAGGCCUCCUUUUCAGCUUGAACUCUUGCAAGGAAUUGCAAUGCUCAGGCUGACUCCUACUCAUCACCACAUUCCUUGCUGAUCCUGCAAAAACUCCUAUUAAACAAUCUGGCUGGGCGCGGUGGCUCACUCCUGUAAUCCCAGCACUUUGGAGGCUGAGGUGGGUGGAUCGCCUGAGAUCAGGAGUUCGAGGCUAGCCUGGCCAACAUGGCAAAACCCUGUCUCUACUAAAAAUACAAAAACUAGCUGGGCGUGUGGCGUGCCUGUAAUCCCAGCUACUUGGGAGGCUGAGGCAGGAGAACUGCUUGAACCUGGGAGGCAGAGGUUGCAGGGAGCUGAGAUUGCACCACUGCACUCCAGUCUGGGUGACAGAGCGAUACUGUCUCCAAAAAAAUAAUAAUAAUACAUACUAAAAUUUGCCAGCUAUAAAGAACAAAGGGAGAGGGUCAUGACCUUGCUCUUUCCAAACUUAAAUAGCUAACGAU
rnacentral:lncRNA from 1 species